rnacentral:lncRNA from 1 species
GGAUCGGUAGGCAGCUAGUUGGGUGUGCAGAGCUCAAGGCCACAAGACACGCCCCCCACACCCGGUCCCCUGUCCCCUGCUAAGUGUCAGUCAAAGCACCCGGCUUCCCAUGAUGCAUCCGGGUGGGUGAAGGCUUCCCAUGAUGCAUCCGGGUGGGUGAAGUCCGGGCGCUCGCUUCCGUCAUGGACCGACAUUAGAGGUGCUGAGCCUGUCUGUUUCGGAUCUCGGAGGGAGGUUGUCCACGCUCUCCUUCUCCUGUUCUCAGACUUUCCCACUUGCAGGGACCUGCUGGGCUCAGCUGGGCUCAGCGGGAGCCGCUCUGCUGACUUGGCUGAUGGGCUCAUGCCUCUGGGUUGGCUGAGUGAGUUAACACGGGCCCGACCAGGCCAGGCUGGGGACUUCUGCCCUCUGCUGCAAGUCUGCAGGUCUGCAUAUCCUGUACUGUCUCUCACCCUCCUGGGACCCAUGGGUAAGCCAAGACGUGUUCUUCUCAUGGUGGUGACAGAGGCCAACAAAGAGUGGCAAUGUGUGACAGCUCUAAGGGGCCUACCGGGAACCAGCACAAUGUCACUUACUUUGGCUGCAUGCCAUUGGUAAAGGAAGCCGCGGGGCAGACCCCAGAGUCAAGGGGCAGGGCGGCAGGGGCGGGGCACGUCUGGCCCAUGGGCCAUGGGAGGCAGUGAAAUCAUUUGAUGUGGCCCUGCCAUGGCAACGGGGGGCGGGACUCAGAAUUCAAGAAAUCUACAGUGGGCCCAUUUUUAAGUUGAUUACUUUGUGUAUGGCCCAUGAGUGAUGUUAAUAUGCAAGUGGCCCUUGGCAGAAGGUUCCUCAGCCUUGCUAGAGAGACUGCCUAGUCACAUGACAAAAAUGUGAAUCAGGGAGGGUGGACAACAAGGGCCAGACACGUAAACUGAACCUUAACUCCGUGCUCCCUAGCACCAGCAUGUGCCAAGGAGGACCAUCGACCCCGCCACGGGAGCUUAACUCCAUGAGAUGAGGAAGGGAUUUAGUAUUUGGUGCUACCCCUUUCUUGCCCCGUUUGCUUUGUUUCACUGCGUGAUAUUGGAAUAUCUGGCCGUGGAAGGCAGGGAUCCUCCAGCCUUGGCCAGGUUUACAUCCCUCGGUACUCAGCACGGGGCUUUGGGCAAGGCGAGUGCUCAAUAGCCAGUCACUGAAUCUCUGUCGGUUCAUCUCCAGAUAGAAAAG